UUUGAAUGAUGAAUACAAUUAGUUCUGAUUUUUGAUGAACUUCAAACCGAGCUUUUUAAUUCUGACAUCC
rnacentral:snoRNA from 1 species